GGGGGUGAAAAGGUUUCGACGGGAUUGGUGAGGGAUUGUUGGCGUGCCGAGGGACUCCGGAUUUCUCGUAAAAUAUCCGGUACAUUUUAUAAAUGGCGAAUAUGAUUAUGCCAUGGCUGCCUAGUAUAAUUACAUAGGCUACCCGUUCCCCCAGUUUUUCGCCUUUUAGGGCUGGACGGAGCGACGGUAUAAAAGGCUAAGCCGACCCGACGCCUUUGAGGUUGGACGAAAAUUAUAAAGGCUGGUCCUUUCUCUGGCCUGCCGCUUGGCAGGGGUGAGGACGAGAAAUUAUAGAGCGGCUACGCACGUAGAAGAUAAUCUGGCGCUUUUUUCGGACGGGGGUUCGAUUCCCCCCACCUCCAAUU
rnacentral:tmRNA from 1 species